ensembl:ncRNA lncRNA:CR43387 long non-coding RNA:CR43387
AUUGAUCUUGCGGUCAGGUUCAUUUCGUAUAUUUUCCGUUGGCCAGCUUAAUUGGCCCAAAACGGUGAUGGCCAUUUGAUAGAGGCCACCAUAAGCAGUUUUUAAUUAGGAUCGACUGAGUUUCGAGAGCGGACCCCUCUAACAAAGGAUGCCGAUGGAGCAGCACCAGCAGCAGCUGCAAAAAGAAAAAAAGCCUAAGGAAUCCAAACGCUCAUAACUCACUCAACUGGCUUUGAUUUAUUUGGGGCAUGGCCGAAUUAGCAUACAAUUAGAGCAAAUGCGCGGCGGCUUAUGCAAUUUAUGAAAUAUUUAUGCCGGCCCAGGUAUAUUUCCCUAGGAUUAUGCAAAUUGCUUUGCGGCAACAAUGUAACUAUGGUUUCUUUGCAUUAAAAUUAUCCGUAAGCCAGUCUUUGAUGGCCACAU